GGAUUAGUGGCGGACGGGUGAGUAACGCGUGAGUAACCUGCCUUACACAAGGGGAUAGCCGUUGGAAACGACGAAUAAUACCCUAUGAAGUUAUUAUCUCGCAUGAGAUAAUAACCAAAGUGUUAGCGGUGUAAGAUGGACUUGCGUCUGAUUAGCUAGUUGGUGAGAAAAAAGCCCACCAAGGCAACGAUCAGUAGCCGGCUUGAGAGAGUGUACGGCCACAUUGGGACUGAGACACGGCCCAGACUCC
rnacentral:rRNA from 1 species